rnacentral:rRNA from 1 species
CCCCUUCCUCUCGUUCCCUUGUCAUUCCCAACACGCAAUCAGAACAGAGUCCAGAGAGAGAUUCAUGCAUGGUUUUCGAGUCGCGACUCAUGCGAGUCGCUCUGGAGCAGCGACUCGGAAGAAGUCGAGCCUGUGUUGUGACUAGUCGCGACUCAGAUUCGCGAGUCGACACUAAGCUGAGUCGACCAUAUUUUUGCGACUCAUAGACUAGUCGUCCACUAGUCGGGACUAGUGGAGCGACUCGAAAUCCAUGGAUUCAUGGCGACUCGAAAUCCAUGGAUUCGCGAGGGUGUGGUCAGGCGUCCGGCGUUCGCCCUCCGGCUGCUUCGCUCCCGUCCGGCCGCCAACCCCCUCCUGCUCCCCCGUUGUCCGCGCCGUUGGUUUGCAGCAUCUCUCGACCGCCGCACCCACCCACGGCCUCUAUUUCUACCCCGGCGACUUUGUUGGUCUUCGUGAUUCGGGGAUUUCUUCACACUAAUUCUCAGUGGGUUUCCACUAUAAUUCCACUUAUUAGCUGUAAUUCCAAUUGGAUUUACAGUGUAAAUCAAGUUGCACUGAUAUUGUCAGUGGGUUUAGUGUAAUUGACAAUAAGUUCUUAUUUUUGGAUUUUUAGUUUAUUUUAGUGGUUUUUUACAGUGUAAUCCUUACUGGAAUUUACACUAUAAUGUGUAGUGUUUUGUUUCAUCUUUUGUAAAUUACAGUCUAUAUUAAUCUGAAUACCUGUGUACUUACCGUCUUAAGUUAAUGUACAUUAACCCUGUAACUUACUAUCCCAUUUUCAGUCUAUUUUUCAGUGUAUUUACACUGUAAAGUCAUUUGGAUUCUAUGUAAUUACACCGUAAUGUUAGUGCACUUACACUCUAUUUUCC